rnacentral:rRNA from 1 species
UGCGUAGGCGGACUGGCAAGUGCUUUGUGAAAUACCACGGCUCAACCGUGGAAUUGCUUGGCAUACUUCCAGUCUUGAGGUCGGUAGAGGGUGCCGGAACGCUAGGUGGAGCGGUGAAAUGCGUAGAUAUCUAGCGGAACGCCAAAGGAGAAGUCAGGCACCUGGGCCGAUUCUGACGCUGAGGCACGAAAGCGUGGGUAGCGAACAGGAUUAGAUACCCUGGUAGUCCC